rnacentral:rRNA from 1 species
CGCGCGCAGGCGGUCUCUUAAGUCUGAUGUGAAAGCCCACGGCUCAACCGUGGAGGGUCAUUGGAAACUGGGAGACUUGAGUGCAGGAGAGAAAAGUGGAAUUCCACGUGUAGCGGUGAAAUGCGUAGAGAUGUGGAGGAACACCAGUGGCGAAGGCGGCUUUUUGGCCUGUAACUGACGCUGAGGCGCGAAAGCGUGGGGAGCAAACAGGAUUAGAUACCCUGGUAGUCCACGCCGUAAACGAUGAGUGCUAGGUGUUGGGGGGUUCCACCCUCAGUGCUGAAGUUAACACAUUAAGCACUCCGCCUGGGGAGUACGACCGCAAGGUUGAAACUCAAAGGAAUUGACGGGGGCCCGCACAAGCAGUGGAGCAUGUGGUUUAAUUCGAAGCAACGCGAAGAACCUUACCAGGUCUUGACAUCCUCUGACCACUCUAGAGAUAGAGCUUUCCCCUUCGGGGGACAGAGUGACAGGUGGUGCAUGGUUGUCGUCAGCUCGUGUCGUGAGAUGUUGGGUUAAGUCCCGCAACGAGCGCAACCCUUGACCUUAGUUGCCAGCAUUCAGUUGGGCACUCUAAGGUGACUGCCGGUGACAAACCGGAGGAAGGUGGGGAUGACGU